rnacentral:rRNA from 1 species
GUAAGGUGCAAGCGUUGUCCGGAAUCACCGGGCGUAGAGGGCGCGUAGGCGGUUUGAUAAGUAGAAGGUGAAAGAUUCGAGCUCAACUCGAAAACUGCCUUCUAAACUGUCUUACUUGAGGGUCUGAGGGGAAACUGGAAUUCACGGUGUAGCGGUGAAAUGCGUAGAUAUCGUGGAGAACACCCGUGGCGAAAGCGGGUUUCUGGCAGACUCCUGACGCUGAGGCGCGAAGGCUAGGGGAGCAAACGGGAUUAGAUACCCCGGUAGUCCUAGCUGUAAACGAUGGGUACUGGGUGUGGGGACUUCGGUCUCCGUGCCGGCGCUAACGCAUUAAGUACCCCGCCUGGGGACUACGAUCGCAAGAUUA